GAUGAACGCUGGCGGCGUGCCUAAUACAUGCAAGUCGAACGCUGAAGGAAGGAGCUUGCUCUUUCCGGAUGAGUUGCGAACGGGUGAGUAACGCGUAGGUAACCUGCCUGGUAGCGGGGGAUAACUAUUGGAAACGAUAGCUAAUACCGCAUAACAGUAGAUGUUGCAUGACAACUAUUUGAAAGGGGCAAUUGCUCCACUACCAGAUGGACCUGCGUUGUAUUAGCUAGUUGGUGAGGUAACGGCUCACCAAGGCGACGAUACAUAGCCGACCUGAGAGGGUGAUCGGCCACACUGGGACUGAGACACGGCCCAGACUCCUACGGGAGGCAGCAGUAGGGAAUCUUCGGCAAUGGACGGAAGUCUGACCGAGCAACGCCGCGUGAGUGAAGAAGGUUUUCGGAUCGUAAAGCUCGGUUGUAAGAGAAGAACGAGUGUGAGAGUGGAAAGUUCACACUGUGACGGUAUCUUACCAGAAAGAGACGGCUAACUACGUG
rnacentral:rRNA from 1 species